rnacentral:snRNA from 1 species
GGAUGUGAGGGCAAGCUGGCUGGGACACCUGUCAUCCUAUUAAUCACCAGGGUUGAUCUCAGCUGAUCCACCAGGCUAGGCAGAUGUCCCCACCAUCCCUCACUGCUCCAUGUACAUGCAGAAGCUGGGCACUUGGUUGAAGGUGACCUUCUCCCUCCAUCAAUGGUGUAUUAGUGGCUGUUCUCCCCCCCAGAGCCACCAAGCAAGCUGUCAAAGGUAUAAGACACAAGCCCAGUAUCUUAGUUACUGCUCUACUGCUGG